GUGGGGAAUAUUGGGCAAUGGGCGAAAGCCUGACCCAGCAACGCCGCGUGAGGGAAGAAGGCCUUCGGGUUGUAAACCUCUGUCCUUGGUGACGAAAAAAAUGACGGUAGCCAAGGAGGAAGCCCCGGCUAACUACGUGCCAGCAGCCGCGGUAAUACGUAGGGGGCGAGCGUUGUCCGGAAUUACUGGGCGUAAAGGGUGCGUAGGUGGCCUUUUAAGUUGGAUGUGAAAUACCCGGGCUUAACUUGGGGGGUGCAUCCAAAACUGGGAGGCUAGAGUGCAGGAGAGGAAAGCGGAAUUCCUAGUGUAGCGGUGAAAUGCGUAGAUAUUAGGAGGAACACCAGUGGCGAAGGCGGCUUUCUGGACUGUAACUGACACUGAGGCACGAAAGCGUGGGGAGCAAACAGGAUUAGAAACCCCUGUAGUCC
rnacentral:rRNA from 1 species